UUCAUCAACUCGGACCGACUCCUCCUCUCAGCAGAGUUCGCCGCCGCCGUCGAGGGACAGGCGAGUGGUCGCGCCCCUGAAUCUGGGUGAUUCGAGAAUCGGCGAUGCCGACGCCCUCGUCUCUGAUGUUGUCCCCCAUCCUCCAAUUUCGAUGGAGCACAAAAUCGAGCCCUAAUCCUUCUUCAUCAGCGUCCACCACCUCUGCCUCUGAAAUUCCCUUGGAAUCGUCGUUGUGGCUUCUGAAAUCCGGCGUUCAGCUGCCGACGUCUUCGAUACCGGCGCCCUCUCCUCCUUCUCCUUUCCUCACGCAGAAUCCAAUCGAGCCCUAGUUUCAUCUCUGGAUUCGCCGCCCCUGGAAUCUCCGGCGAGGCUGGCGUCGCCGCCUUUGAAAUUGAUGAGGUUGACGCCGUUCUUCCCCUAUCUCGAUCUUCUCAAGUACAGCUUCGCGGUCGGCCCUGUCUUCCUCUCGUUUGAGCGAAACCGCCGCCGUUGCUGUUGAAGAAAUCCCCAAACUCAGCGAGGGUCGCCGUUCAACCUCGCCUCCCCUUCCUGAAGACUCGCCGUCAUCCUGUGUUGUCGUCAGAGCUCCUUUAUCUCGACGAACAGGGCAGCCGCUCUGAGUCUUCAGAAGCACCGAUGGUCUGUCGCCCCUGGUUCGACUCCAUCGCGCUUGCCUUGGCCGGUAUCAUUGUCUGCCGUCGGAGGAAGGCUCUUCCGCCUCAACAAACAAGCAGUCAGCCUCCGGCUGAUUCCGAAUUCUCAUCGACGAAGGCUGAAACUAUGGAGGUGAUGGAAGAAAAACUUAAUUCAGGCUUACCUCUUCGAAGCUCGGUAGCCACCAGACCAACUUCCUCCCUUUUGAUUGUUGAUGCGUGAAUGAAGAAACUAGGGGAAUUUUGUUGGCUGACCAAAUAUAAGGGAGAAGGAGUUGUUGAGUUCUACAUAUCCCAUGACAUGCGUGAAAGAGGGCAGCAGGUGUAGGGUGGCUGACUUGACAGCUUGCUUGUCCCCACACGCAUGCUUUUCCUUUUCUUUUCUGAUUGACAGCUUGCUGCCGUAAUAAUAGAAAUGUAGGGAGUAGACUAGGAAUUGAGUGAUGUUUGUAAUAGAUAGUGUAGAGUUGCGGCUGAUUGUAAAGUUUGAAAAGUUGUGGUGUGACUAAUAAAAUCCUUCAGUAUCUUGAUAAAGCGGUAUCUGAUAUUAAUCCCGUGUCUUGCUAAUAUAGCGUAUCUGUAAUACUAAUCCCAGGUUUUGUUAAUAAUACUAAAUACUCUAAUAAUUCUUGUA